UACAGAGGGGGCAAGCGUUGUUCGGAAUUACUGGGCGUAAAGGGCGCGUAGGCGGCCUGUUAAGUCGAACGUGAAAUCCCCGGGCUCAACCCGGGAACUGCGUCCGAUACUGGCAGGCUUGAAUCCGGGAGAGGGAUGCGGAAUUCCAGGUGUAGCGGUGAAAUGCGUAGAUAUCUGGAGGAACACCGGUGGCGAAGGCGGUUGCCUGGAGCUUUGCUGACGCUGAGGCGCGAAAGCGUGGGGAGCGAGCCGG
rnacentral:rRNA from 1 species